rnacentral:lncRNA from 1 species
CUCUCUCUCUGUGGCUAGGCCCUCUUCUCCAGUGUAGUGUAGAAGUCUCUGGUUUCCCUCUCCAGUGUGGCCCCUCUUCUGGGCUCGAUCCUCCCUCAGUCCGCGCGAUUGAUGGCACACGCAUGGCCGUCGCCUUGAGGAGAGCGGGGGAGGAGCAGAUCCGCCGUCGCCGCCGCCCGUUCCUCUUCCGAGACUAUCUCGCCGCC